CCAACCCUUUCUUCUUUGAUAUUUUGUUGACGGGAGGAAGAAAGAGAGAGAGAAAGAACAAUUCUUUGUUUUUCUUUCUCUCUAAUUGCUCUCUUUUAUUGCUUUGUUUUUUUCUCUUGUUUAAUAUAGGGAAAUCAUGGACUGAUGGUUAAUCCUGGGGUGUUAGAUACUGGUGGACCCUUAAGAGGAUCCAUCGGGAGUCUUGGGUUUUUAUAUGUCUUGGAUAAUUUUUAAUGAUAACUUGGUUUUGUAGGAGAACAAUCUAUUGGACGAGAGGAUGCUGAGCAGAGUCCUGCGCAUUCCGGUUCGUAGAUCGCCGUGAGGGCGGGUGAUUAGUUGUUUGAGUUUUUUUAUAAAGGGUAAGAAUCCUUGUACGCCAAUCCUACAUGAUAUAGAUAUUUUUGCACUAUAUAUGUUUGAUAUGCUAUGAUCCAGACAAAGCAAAAUAGUUUUAUAUUAAAUUAUAUUUUGAUCGUGUUAGCUUGUGAUUGGUAUUAUGAUGGAUGCAUGUAUGUGUAUAACCUAUACCUGCAUAAUUGCAUUUAUGGAUGUGGUGGUAUGGACUAAUCAUGUUAUAUUGAUUGCCUUAUCACGGGCCGGAAACGUGACCAUGGUUAGUCUAGGCCGAAAAUAAAGUGGAAAAGGGAAUGGAUGUGUGUUUGUGAAUUGAUUAAAUGAACAGGGACUUUGGGCUUAUCUCGUUAUUAUUGAUUGCCCCAUCACAGGCUGGAAAUGUGAUAUUAUCGAUUGCCCCGUCACAGGCUGGAAAUAUGAUACUAUUGAUUGCCCCGUCACAGGCUGAAAAUUGUGACACUAUCGAUUGCCCCAUCACAGGCCGGAAAUGUGAUACUAUCNN
rnacentral:lncRNA from 1 species